UAGGCCUACUCGGACAAAAAUAGUGCAUUUGAUGUCAUUGUUUACUUAAACUAACCAACAAAUUGGCAGAAAUGAAACUUUUGGUGAAAGAGAAAUAUAUUAAGACCAUUUUGAGCUAAAAUUUACUUGUUUAUGAGUUUGCAUUCAAAAUUGAGGAUUAAUGCACCCCAUAGUAUACUAAUUUAAGAUUUCCAGAAAACCAGGGGUUAUUUUUAGUGGUACCUCUAUUCGGAAGACCUUUUCUUUUUUAUAUGAUUUUAAACACCUGUUGAAAAUUGGCAUGUAGAAAGCUGAUACAUGUACAAUUCAGGAUAUACCUGGUUUCUAUGAAGUUAAAC
rnacentral:lncRNA from 1 species